CAAGGUACGUCUACUUAUACCUAGAUUUAUUGCAGGAGUAACCUAUUCAUCGAGAAGUGCAUUCAAAUAGGAUUUAUACAGUAGUAGCUCGUGCCUAUAACCGGAUAGUCGAGAAGAGGAACAAGAGGAGGAAGAGGAAUAAGAGGAGAAAGGGAAAGGCUAGGUUCGCUUGAAACUCGUAACACUGGCUAGAGGGAUGGUCUCGACGUUGAGGGAUGGUGUGUCGUUUCGAGACGCGCACGGAAUGCCUCGCGAUACGUCUGUGAUGCGCUCACGACGCGCGCAUAACGUUCCAACGUGUAACUCCUAUUUCUCUAUCUUCAUCCUACUUCCUCUCCUUCCCCCUCAUCUCUCUCUCUCUCUCUCUCUUAUAUAUAAUACACACACAAACGCACGGA